AGAGUUUGAUCAUGGCUCAGGAUGAACGCUAGCGGGAGGCUUAAUACAUGCAAGUCGAGCGGUAAUUUAGGAAUAGCAAUAUUUCUGAGCUAGAGCGGCGCACGGGUGAGUAACGCGUACACGACCUGCCCUUUACUGGGGGAUAGCCUUGGGAAACUGAGAUUAAUACCCCAUGGUAUUAUUAUGCUGCAUGGUAUAAUAAUUAAAGCUGAGGCGGUAAAGGAUGGGUGUGCGUCUGAUUAGCUAGUUGGUAGGGUAACGGCCUACCAGGGCGAUGAUCAGUAGGGGGCGUGAGAGCGUGACCCCCCACACGGGUACUGAGACACGGACCCGACUCCUACGGGAGGCAGCAGUAAGGAAUAUUGGUCAAUGGAGGGAACUCUGAACCAGCCAUCCCGCGUGCAGGAUGAAGGGGCUCUGCCCUGUAAACUGCUUUUGAAUGGGACGAAAAAGCCUCACUUGUGAGGAACUGACGGUACCAUUAGAAUAAGCACCGGCUAACUCCGUGCCAGCAGCCGCGGUAAUA
rnacentral:rRNA from 1 species